UACAGAGGUCUCAAGCGUUGUUCGGAUUCAUUGGGCGUAAAGGGUGCGUAGGCGGCGCGGCAAGUCGGGUGUGAAAUCUCGGGGCUUAACUCCGAAACUGCAUUCGAUACUGCCGUGCUUGAGGACUGGAGAGGAGACUGGAAUUUACGGUGUAGCGGUGAAAUGCGUAGAUAUCGUAAGGAAGACCAGUGGCGAAGGCGGGUCUCUGGACAGUUCCUGACGCUGAGGCACGAAGGUCAGGGGAGCAAACGGG
rnacentral:rRNA from 1 species